rnacentral:rRNA from 1 species
AAGAAUUCGCCCUUUUCCGGUUGAUCCCGCCGGACCUGACUGCUAUCGGAUUGAUACUAAGCCAUGCGAGUCUUUGUAGUAAUACAAGGCAUACGGCUCAGUAACGCGUAGUCAACCUACCCUAUGGACAAGAAUAAUCUCGGGAAACUGAGCAUAAUUCUUGAUAGAUCAUAAUGCCUGGAAUGGUUUAUGGUUAAAAUGAUUCGUCGCCAUAGGAUGGGACUGCGGCCUAUCAGCUUGUUGGUGAGGUAAUGGCCCACCAAGGCGAUAACAGGUACGGGCUCUGAGAGGAGAAGCCCGGAGAUGGGUACUGAGACAAGGACCCAGGCCCUAUGGGGCGCAGCAGGCGAGAAAACUUUGCAAUGUGCGAAAGCACGACAAGGUUAGUCCGAGUGAUUUCUGCUAAAGAGAUCUUUUGCUAGUCAUAAAACCACUAGUGAAUAAGGGGUGGGCAAGUUCUGGUGUCAGCCGCCGCGGUAAAACCAGCACCUCAAGUGGUCAGGAUGAUUAUUGGGCCUAAAGCAUCCGUAGCCGGCUCUGUAAGUUUUCGGUUAAAUCUAUGCGCUCAACGUAUGGGCUGCCGAAAAUACUGCAGAGAUAGGGAGUGGGAGAGGUAGACGGUACUCGGUAGGAAGGGGUAAAAUCCUUUGAUCUAUCGAUGACCACCUGUGGCGAAGGCGGUCUACCAGAACACGUUCGACGGUGAGGGAUGAAAGCUGGGGGAGCAAACCGGAUUAGAUACCCGGGUAGUCCCAGCUGUAAACGAUGCAGACUCGAUGAUGCAUUGGCAUAUAGCCAGUGCAGUGUCGCAGGGAAGCCGUUAAGUCUGCCGCCUGGGAAGUACGUACGCAAGUAUGAAACUUAAAGGAAUUGGCGGGGGAGCACCACAAGGGGUGAAGCCUGCGGUUCAAUUGGAAUCAACGCCGGG